UUUGUAUCGUUGGUUUACGCGUGUGUUUAGUAUUUUACAAGUCAGAAGAAAUUUUUAUAAAAUUUAGACCAAAUUCUUAACUGCAUUCCGGUCAGUUGUUGAGAAGUAGUUUCCGGGACAAUUUCCGCGGCUUUGAUUACUCGUCUGCUACAGGUCUGAUACCACCUAUGUCUCCCACCAUCAAACUUUGUUUUCCGGCGAAUAUGUAUCCAAUCAAUCAAGUGAACCAACUUCCUCCAAUACCGAAGACUUCCCGAAAUCUGCCAGUUCCUGUGGGAACGGGAAAAAUAGCAUCAGCAAAACUGGAAAAGCCUUUCGAGGCAGAAGGAUUCGGAUAUGCUGAUUUUACGGAACGGGAACCCGAAAAUCUGUGGAGCUAUCGGAAUUUACCGCAAGAAGUGCAGCAUUUAUGAUUUUAAGAAAUAUGUUAAAAAAGAAAUCCUUAUCUGAUAUGUUUGAAUCUCUGCAUAGUCGGAUCAAACGGUUAGAGGAGGUCAUGCAUUUCUGGCAAUGGUCCCGCUCAGAGUACCCCCACUCGGAUUAAGUCCGCCAGGCGCUGUGUCACUAAAUAAUCGAAAGUGUCAGAGAUAUCGAUAUCGACAUUGCCAAUGGUGCUUCUUUCGGUGGAAAGCGAAGGGACGGACGAAUUUUUUUCUACAGCAGGUUAACCAAGUUGCCGGGAAAGUCCGAGGGAGUGAAAUACUGCCUGAAAAGUUAUUUUCGCAGUGUCCUG